GACGUAGGGGGCGAGCGUUGUCCGGAUUCAUUGGGCGUAAAGCGCGCGUAGGCGGCUGCGCAAGUCGGUUGUGAAAUCCCUGGGCUCAACCCAGGAACUGCGUCCGAUACUGGAAGGCUUGAAUCCGGGAGAGGGAUGUGGAAUUCCAGGUGUAGCGGUGAAAUGCGUAGAUAUCUGGAGGAACACCGGUGGCGAAGGCGACAUCCUGGACCGGUAUUGACGCUGAGGCGCGAAAGCCAGGGGAGCAAACGGG
rnacentral:rRNA from 1 species